UUAUUAUUCUAGUAUGGCGUUGGAUGUCAAUAACUCGGCUGAGUGACGGUCGGCUCUCCGUUCCAUUAUCGUUGGUCCUUAGACUGUAAUGGCGCUUGCUCGUGGGUAACAGUUCUGUCAUUGUUAGCUCACUGUUCAAAGAGAGGUUAAAUCCUAGUGUUUUGCUCGGUGGCUCUUUAAGGCACACAGCAUCUUGAGGAGGUAAUUGCCUGGAAAAGCAUGUAAGCAGAAUACAGUAAGUACUUGUAUAAAUGAUCCACUCAAGCAUUGGUUUGAUGAAAAAUGUUCCAGACCAAGGACUAAAAACUUUCAAUCUGUUACCAGUCACUUGAGCAGCAACUUUGAUCUUAUUGCUCAAAUUUGUUUGGUUACCUGUGGCAUUCAACAGAUUUUUAAAAUAACAUGUUAAUAUUCUGUUGAUCCUUCCUAUUUCAUAUAGUGCAGAAAAUAUGCAGAAAAUGAAUUUGGCCAUCAGUGAUAUUUCAUAUAGUGACUAGAAACACUAAUGUUAAUGAAAUUUUCACCUAUUUGGCCAUAAGGAUUGGCCUGGAAGAGGACUGUAUUGCCAUUUUUUUGGGGACUAAAAGUUAAUGUGUUUAGACCUCUCUCAAUACAUACAAACAAGCUUUUAAAAAUAUAUUAAGACAUCUGCUUUACAAUAAACUUUUUAUGUUCAAGAUAAACAAUUAUUGUUUUUAUGUUCAAGAUAAACAUUUAUUGAACAGUGUUGUUUCUGAACUGUUCCAUUUCAAAAUUUUAAAAUGAAAAAGACAAAACACUGCAUAGGUAACUUAAAUGUUCUCCAAGUACUUCCAGAAUGUGCAGCUUUACAAGAGGUUACAAAACUGAUGACCCUCAUACAUUGCAAAAGUAAAAUUCAACAGUGGUACUCAAGAUACAAAAAAAUAUAUGUAUGGUAUGUAUGACCACAAUCAAGAUUGAAAAUAUUCAGAAUAAUAUUGUGUCUAUAUUAAUAUUGCACAUUUCCUACGGAAACUAAAGUACAGUACUUGCCAUAUCUAAAUGGACGUGUAAACUGAGAGGAGCAAACAUGAAAACAGCAAUAGAUCAAAAAGUACAAAUAAACUGAUUAUCUCUUAUAGCUGCAGUGUGAACUUAACCUGGUUUUAUAUAUGGUCUGAAUAUUGAACUCUAAAAUGAAAUCCUUAUAGCUACCAAGUCUUGUAACAAAUAUCCCCUUUAAAACAAA